GCGGACAGUGCCUGGUGGGUAGUUUGACUGGGGCGGUCUCCUCCCAAAGAGUAACGGAGGAGCACGAAGGUGGGCUAAUCACGGUUGGACAUCGUGAGGUUAGUGCAAUGGCAUAAGCCCGCUUGACUGCGAGAAUGACAAUUCGAGCAGGUGCGAAAGCAGGUCAUAGUGAUCCGGUGGUUCUGAAUGGAAGGGCCAUCGCUCAACGGAUAAAAGGUACUCCGGGGAUAACAGGCUGAUACCGCCCAAGAGUUCAUAUCGACGGCGGUGUUUGGCACCUCGAUGUCGGCUCAUCACAUCCUGGGGCUGAAGUCGGUCCCAAGGGUAUGGCUGUUCGCCAUUUAAAGUGGUACGCGAGCUGGGUUUAGAACGUCGUGAGACAGUUCGGUCCCUAUCUGCCGUGGGCGUUGGAAGAUUGAAGGGGGCUGCUCCUAGUACGAGAGGACCGGAGUGGACGAACCUCUGGUGUUCGGGUUGUGUCGCCAGACGCAUUGCCCGGUAGCUAAGUUCGGAAUCGAUAACCGCUGAAAGCAUCUAAGCGGGAAGCGAGCCCUGAGAUGAGUCUUCCCUGAUACUUUAAGUAUCCUAAAGGGUUGUCGGAGACUACGACGUUGAUAGGUCAGGUGUGUAAGUGCUGUGAGGCAUUGAGCUAACUGAUACUAAUUGCCCGUGAGGCUUAACCAUACAACACCCAAGGGGUUU
rnacentral:rRNA from 1 species